rnacentral:rRNA from 1 species
CAGUAGCCGCGGGAAUACGUAGGGUGCAAGCGUUGUCCGGAAUUAUUGGGCGUAAAGAGCUCGUAGGCGGCUAGUUGCGUCGGCUGUGAAAGCCUGGGGCUCAACCCCGGGCCUGCAGCCGAUACGGGCUAGCUAGAAUUCGGUAGGGGAGACUGGAAUUCCUGGUGUAGCGGUGAAAUGCGCAGAUAUCAGGAGGAACACCGGUGGCGAAGGCGGGUCUCUGGGCCGACAUUGACGCUGAGGAGCGAAAGCGUGGGGAGCGAACAGGAUUAGAUACCCCUGUAGUCCCUGUCUCUUAUAU